rnacentral:rRNA from 1 species
CAUGGCUCAGAUUGAACGCUGGCGGCAGGCUUAACACAUGCAAGUCGAACGGUAGCAGGAGAAAGCUUGCUUUCUUGCUGACGAGUGGCGGACGGGUGAGUAAUGCUUGGGAAUCUGGCUUAUGGAGGGGGAUAACUACGGGAAACUGUAGCUAAUACCGCGUAGAAUCGGAAGAUGAAAGUGCGGGACCGCAAGGCCGCAUGCCAUGAGAUGAGCCCAAGUGGGAUUAGGUAGUUGGUGGGGUAAAGGCCUACCAAGCCUGCGAUCUCUAGCUGGUCUGAGAGGAUGGCCAGCCACACUGGAACUGAGACACGGUCCAGACUCCUACGG